rnacentral:lncRNA from 1 species
UUUGCAUUUCCCUUGUAAUUAGUGACGUCAAGCAUUUUUCCAUAUAUGUGUUGGCCAUUUGUAUUUUUUUUUGAUAAAUAUCAAAUUCAAGACCCUAGAAAUAUUUAUUUAGUUCAGCCUUUUCAUGGUUUAGAGAAGGAACAUGAUAACUGAGAAAUCAAGGGACAUAACAAAAAUUAUGGAAAAUCGUAACUCCUAAUUUCAGUCAUUUAAACCAAGUGCACUAGUCAAACCUAUGAAAGACGUGUGUGNNNNNNNNNNNNNNNNNNNNNNUGUCUUCUUUUGAGAAGUGUCUGUAUAUAUCCUUCACCCACUUUUUAAGUAUGAUCUCUGAAGGUGAUUUAUUAUAAACACCUUCUAAAUAUUGCCAGACCCUACACAUUUGCAUUAUAACUGUUCCACCUACCUGCUUUUUUAAAAAAAACAAAAACUCCUUUUUACCUUCUAUCUUUUCACCUCCUAUUUAUUUCUACCAAUUCCUUAAAAUAGUUGUAUAUCCAAUAAUUCUGGUUAGCCGGAAAUGGAGGUUGAGUCUGUGGAUG